rnacentral:rRNA from 1 species
CAUGCAGUCGACGGUAACAGGCCGCAAGGUGCUGACGAGUGGCGAACGGGUGAGUAAUGCAUCGGAACGUGCCCAGUCGUGGGGGAUAACGCAGCGAAAGCUGUGCUAAUACCGCAUACGAUCUAUGGAUGAAAGCGGGGGACCGUAAGGCCUCGCGCGAUUGGAGCGGCCGAUGUCAGAUUAGGUAGUUGGUGGGGUAAAGGCUCACCAAGCCAACGAUCUGUAGCUGGUCUGAGAGGACGACCAGCCACACUAGGACUGAGACACGGCCCAGACUCCUACGGGAGGCAGCAGUGGGGAAUUCUGGACAAUGGGCGCAAGCCUGAUCCAGCAAUGCCGCGUGCAGGAAGAAGGCCUUCGGGUUGUAAACUGCUUUUGUACGGAACGAAACGGUCUGGGUUAAUACCCUGGGCUAAUGACGGUACCGUAAGAAUAAGCACCGGCUAACUACGUGCCAGCAGCCGCGGUAAUACGUAGGGUGCAAGCGUUAAUCGGAAUUACUGGGCGUAAAGCGUGCGCAGGCGGUUUUGUAAGACAGGCGUGAAAUCCCCGGGCUCAACCUGGGAAUUGCGCUUGUGACUGCAAGGCCGGAGUGCGGCAGAGGGGGAUGGAAUUCCGCGUGUAGCAGUGAAAUGCGUAGAUAUGCGGAGGAACACCGAUGGCGAAAGCAAUCCCCUGGGCCUGCACUGACGCUCAUGCACGAAAGCGUGGGGAGCAAACAGGAUUAGAUACCCUGGUAGUCCACGCCCUAACGAUGUCAACUGGUUGUUGGGAAUUUACUUUCUCAGUACGAAGCUAACGCGUGAGUUGACGCCUGGGGAGUACGCGCAGUGAAAC